AAGGAAGAUACUCUCAAUUCAGUGAGGAUUUUCUUCUAAGCAAUCCAUGUGAUGGAGGAGACAGCUCCUUGCUUACUCUUUCUGGGGACGCUUCUUCUGAUCUUGACCUUGGAUGUCCUAAUGACAACUUCUCCUUAACAGAGUAAUUGGAACUGCAGUUUUUGUCUGAUGAGCUUGAGUUAGGCAUCACAGACCGUGCUGAAACCCCAGACUUGAUGAGAUCUACCAAGUGAAUCAUGGCCAAAACUGUGUUCCUGCAUCAAUGUCUGUUACUGUAGAGCCUUCUCCAGGAUCAGCAGUUAACCACAUACCAGGAAUGAGAUGGAGUCCUGAGCUCCAUGAGCUUUUUCUAGAGGCCGUGAACAAGCUUGAAGGGCCUGAAAGUGAGUUAGCUUUUAUGUUAUUCCAGCAACCAAUCUAUUAUUCGAAAGAGUUCUUCUGACCAAUGAUAUUAUCUCAUCAUUGUCUUUUUUUAAUCAAUGCUAGAUUGCUGGUUGAUUCCAUGGAUGUGUAAUGAGUUAGUAGUCAAAUUUUUAUCGGAUAUAGCUGAGCUCUGAUGUAGUUAAGGACGGCUCUUGAGGUUUUGCAGGGUAAACUCAAUUUGACAGAGAGGGAAAUGUUGGAGAAAUCAUCUCAGUUAGCUAUUGAGAGAAAUAAAAGAAAAGAACUCUAUAAUGCUUACAAGAAGCUGACGUCCAAAUAUAAGUUUGUCUGCAAAAGAUUUGGUCCUACUGCCGACAGCUUCCUUGAGGAUGAUGGUCACUGGACCAAGAGUGAAGAAUGUUGUCAAGUUGAGCAGAGUAUCUGCUUACUGAAUUCAGAACCUCCUAUUGAUGAUAUGAUAGAGGAUCAUGACACCACUUUCGUUUUAUAUAUCUCUGUUACAUGUAUACUCUUAUCAUUUGUAAAUAAAAUAUUUCCAACAAUAUUCUUUUGUUCUCCAUUUUCUUUGAGAUUGAUUAUUUAUAUGAGAUUGAUUAUUUUAAGGCAU